rnacentral:rRNA from 1 species
GCCCUACGGGUGGCUGCAGUGGGGAAUAUUGGACAAUGGGCGCAAGCCUGAUCCAGCCAUGCCGCGUGAGUGAUGAAGGUCUUAGGAUUGUAAAGCUCUUUCACCGAUGAAGAUAAUGACGGUAGUCGGAGAAGAAGCCCCGGCUAACUUCGUGCCAGCAGCCGCGGUAAUACGAAGGGGGCUAGCGUUGUUCGGAAUUACUGGGCGUAAAGCGCACGUAGGCGGAUAUUUAAGUCAGGGGUGAAAUCCCGCAGCUCAACUGCGGAACUGCCUUUGAUACUGGGUAUCUCGAGUAUGGAAGAGGUGAGUGGAAUUCCGAGUGUAGAGGUGAAAUUCGUAGAUAUUCGGAGGAACACCAGUGGCGAAGGCGGCUCACUGGUCCAUUACUGACGCUGAGGUGCGAAAGCGUGGGGAGCAAACAGGAUUAGAUACCCCGGUAGUCGCA